AGUUGAACAAUUUAGUUUGCAAAUAUAGAGCAAUGCAAGCUUGUAGGAAAAAUACUUUUUUUUUAAGAUCAGCAGACGAUCGAUUCCUAUCGAUAUAAGGCAAAAUCUGAUUGGUUAGACCUUAAACUUUCGCACAUGCGCCUCAGUCUUUACUUCCUCUGUUUUGAUCGUCUGCGCCGAUAGUCCUAAAACUGCUAAAUGCAGCAUUUAAGAAAGUAAUAAUUCGAUAUAUAUAUAUGUACUGUGUUCCAGAAUCUGAAACUGCAAGCGAAUGUAAAGAAUGUGCAACUACAUUUCACUGCCAACAGAUGAAACUAUUGCUGAGCUCAUCACCCUAUCCUAUGCAUCAGCAACAGAGCUUAUUAGUGGCAGCAGCUAUUGCUCUAAAAACCUAAAUGGAUGGAUGUACGAAGAAAGACAAACACAGCAGAAAGCAAAAGGCAGAUAGACUGGAUUUUUCAAACCAAUUGAAGGUGACGUACUUGUGACCUGGCCUAGCAAGCUGACAAGAAAUUUAACUGCUAGCAAGGAAGAAGGACGAGAUUACUGUGUGCUGUCCAUAGACUACAUCACUUGGUGAUAGUUGUUAGCAGGGGUUGUUGGCGGAGUAAAGAAGGCUUGAAGAGAAUUGGUUUGUUAUUGGUAAAUCCUCGCUCGAAUAGCAGAAACGGACAUUUAUAACAGCAAGGGAAAGGUGGCGAAAUCCCAUACGUCUUCCAUGGGCUGUGCACUAGACGUCCUGUACUGCUCAGUUUUUAUUCCUCGUUCCGUCGUUCCUUCGUUCAGCAUAAAUUAGCCCUUAAACGACCCUAGCGGGUACGACAGGAUUCUUGGCCUCACAAAGAACAUGUAAGUGGUCCUCCAUUAGCUUAAUUCUCGCAGUGUAAUGAGACACGUGAUGCUUUAUACAGUUCCUUCCUAUAUAAGAGCUGUUGUAUGUUGUUUAGCCUGCACAGUCUUUUUUUUCUUAUUGUGGAACAUUUGACCAAGUCAGGCACAGUUUCUGUGCAAAUGUCACAGAAAACCAGUGACUUUGGAGCUGACGCUCGAGACUUUGGAACUUUUGUCAACAUGCUAAGCUAUAGGUGACGAUAGUUUGGCAAUAUAAUAAAACUUCGAGGGACUUCAGAAGUUUGACGCUUCGGCCUUUCGCGCAGUUCAAAACUUAAACUAGAAUACCCUGUUUUUUAGAAUUCUUGUCAUAUAGUGUUUUCUACACCUGCUGUAAUUCACAUGCUUUUAUUUGUCUUCAAACAUUCCAUUGCAGCUGGAAACACUAUUUUGCGUUGACAGUUCACUUUAUAUACAUUUUUUCUUUCCGAUCGGAUCCUCGAAGCAUAGUUUCCCCACCACAGAAUCC